GCGGAGCUGCGUUCUGCUCUGCACAGACCUUGGGGCACUGCCUCGCUUUGGGACAACUCGGGGCCGCAUCGACGGUGAAUAAAAUCCUUCCUGUUUGCAGCCCUGUUUGUGGUUGGUGGCAGCGAUGGACACUGCAGCCAGCCAGAGCGUAGAAAGGCAUCGGGUGAAAGAAGAUGGCCACAGAGACAGACAGCAGCGUGGUCAGAGUGGUAGGAGCCGGCCAUCAGCGAGAGCUGCUCCAUGCCUGGCUGCUGGGUGCUAGAGUCUGCGGCCCACUGGCUUGCCUCACUGUGGUUGGUGGUGGCGGUGACAGAGACUGCAGCAUGACCAGAGUGGCUUUUCUGGCUUUGCCCGCCCAGCUGCUCCAUGCCAGGAGGAGGAGGAGACACCUAGAGCCUGCGACACCACGGCUCGCCUC
rnacentral:lncRNA from 1 species